GGAUGCCUACAAGCAGUCGGAGGGCGUAAGCCUGACGGCGUACCUUUUGUAUAAUGGGUCAACGACUUAGUGUAGCAAGCAAGCUUAAGCCGAUAGGUGUAGGCGCAGCGAAAGCGAGUCUUAAUAGGGCGAAUAGUUUGUUGCAUUAGACCCGAAACCAAGUGAUCUAGCCAUGAGCAGGUUGAAGGUUGAGUAACAUCAACUGGAGGACCGAACCCACUAACGUUGAAAAGUUAGGGGAUGACCUGUGGCUGGGGGUGAAAGGCCAAUCAAACCGGGAGAUAGCUGGUUCUCCCCGAAAGCUAUUUAGGUAGCGCCUCGUGUAUCACCAUAGGGGGUAGAGCACUGUUUGGGCUAGGGGGUCAUCCCGACUUACCAACCCUUUGCAAACUCCGAA
rnacentral:rRNA from 1 species